UGAGUAUGAUCCACCAUAAACUUAUGUUUUAAAGUCAUUUGUGUUUGCCAGGCUCUCCGCGUGAAUGAAAUAACUGACGCCGGCUCUGUCUCGCUCUAGUUUUGUA